ACGCCUCCCUGGACAGCCCGUUCCAAUAUCUCACUACUCUUUCUGAGAAAAGUUUCUUCUAACAUCUAACCUGAAUUUCUUCUGGCACAACAUAAAACCAUUACCUCUCAUCCUAUUGCUGUUAGUUGGGAAAAAAGGCUGGCCCCCACCUCAUCUCAAUCUCCUUUCAGGGAGUUGAAGACAGUGAUAAGGUCUCCCCUGAGCCUCCUCCAGACUGAACAAUCCCAGUUCCUUCAGCCAUUGCACAUAAGACUUUUGUUUCAGACCCCACUGCAGCUUUGUUGCCCUUCUCCGGACACAUUCCAGGGCCUCAACAUCUUUCUUGCAGUAAGGAACCCAAACUGAACACGGUGCUCAAGGUGCAGCCUCACCAGAGCUGAAUAAAUAGGGAUGAUCACUUCCCUGCUCCUGCUGGCAUCGCCAUCAGCCUAUUUGUCCACCUGGGCACACUGCUGGAUCAUGUUCAGCUGAACAUUGACCAGCACAUCCAGAUCCUUUUCCUCUGUGCAGCUUUCCAGUCACUCUGACCCAAGCCUGUAGCAUUCGAUGAGGUUGUUGUGACCAAAGCACAGGGCCCAAACAAGGCAAGGAUCAGUGAGAAAGCCACAGUUUAAAAGCAAUUCUAAAUGAAAAGGAGGGACAACUCUCAAUUCUAGCUCUAGUUAUCCUUCCAGGGGAGUGACAGCUUUCAAGUAAGACUGCCAGCAAACACUACCUUCCUUCACAGCAAUGCCAUAAAAUGAAUGAGAGCCACAUACACACCUGGCUAUGAAUCAUCUAUCUGCAGCAUUUCCUACUGUUCUGGAAACACAAUUUUCUGCACCUUGAAAGGCAGAAAGCAUGAAAGAAAAGGAUCAGUUUAAACUUAAAAAUACGAGUCAAUGUGUGACCUUCCAAAGCCUCUCUCCUCACUGAUCUCACGCUAUGCUGGCACAGCGGGAGCUGAGCUCACCUCUCCACACAACUUCUGAUCCAGAAUCCUUCGUCACCGUGCAUAAGCUCCAAGUGGGAUGAAAGAUAGACCAAUAGAGAAAUGAGGGCACUGUACUGGUACAAGAAAUGUCUCUGGAGUCAUAAAUACAGUUAAGGAAACAGCUUCCACUCUGAA